rnacentral:rRNA from 1 species
AACGUAGGUUCCGAGCGUUAUCCGGAUUUACUGGGCGUAAAGCGCGUUCAGGCGGUUUGGCAAGUCGGGCAUGAAAUCUCUCGGCUCAACCGGGAGAGGUUGUCCGAUACUGCUGGACUGGAGAGCAGUAGAGGGUGGUGGAAUUCCGGGUGUAGUGGUGAAAUGCGUAGAGAUCCGGAGGAACACCAGUGGCGAAAGCGGCCACCUGGACUGUACCUGACGCUGAAACGCGAAAGCUAGGGGAGCGAACGGG